UACGGAGGGGGCUAGCGUUGUUCGGAAUUACUGGGCGUAAAGGGUUCGUAGGUGGGAAGAUAAGUCAAGUGUGAAAUCCCUAAGCUCAACUUAGGACGUGCAUUUGAAACUAUUUUUCUUGAGUAUUGGAGAGGGUCGUGGAAUUGCUGGUGUAGGAGUGAAAUCCGUAGAUAUCAGCAGGAAUACCAGAGGCGAAGGCGGCGACCUGGCCAAAUACUGACACUGAGGAACGAAAGCGUGGGGAGCAAACAGG
rnacentral:rRNA from 1 species